rnacentral:rRNA from 1 species
GACGAACGCUGGCGGCGGGCUUAACACAUGCAAGUCGAACGGAAAGUCCCUGGUUAGCGGGGGUGCUCUAGUUGCGAACGGGUGAGUAACACGUGUGUAAGCUGCCCUCGACGUUGGGAUAACUUCAUGAAACUUGGGCUAAUAGCGGAUAGGAGCUCCUGCGGCAUGGUGGGGGUGGGAAAGUUUCGGCGGUUGGGGAUGGACUCGCGGCUUAUCAGCUUGGUCGUGGGGUAGUGGGUUAGCAAGGCCUUCACGGGUAGCAGUCCUGCAAGGGUGACCGGCCCCAUUGGGACUGGGAUACGGCCCAGACUCCUCCGCGACGCAGGAGUGCAGUAUAUUGCACUAUGGGCGGAAGCCUGAUGCAGCCACGCCGCGUGCGGGAUGACGGCCUUCGGGUUGUAUUCCGCUGUCGCCUGUGCCGAAGCGUGAGUGACGGUAAUGGGUGAAGAAGCACCGGCUAACUACGUG